GAGAGACACAACGACGUCUACUUUGUUCCUUGGUCAGUCGAUGGCCUGCGGGUGUCUGCUGGUGUCUGGCCGUGUGCUCUUUCUCGACGUACAGCUGUUUGUGUGUGUGCCCGCGACAGUCUCGGGUUUUGAUGGGCACAGGAUGGGGGGCCAAAAGGCAAAACUGUUUUGGUGGGCAAAAACAGAAAUGCCUGUCCUCAUUUAGGUCCAUGGGCACAGGCCCGAGGUUGUAGCCCUUGCCAGGGAUCCUGCCCUUCUCUACUCAGCACUUCGCUGCCCCUCUCCUGAAUCACAUCAAUUAAGAACUUUCUUCACCACCCCUUCGCUGUCAUCCUUUUCUCUCCACUAUUCACCCAACAUCAUCCGGGACCAGAACUAAUGUCAGCAAAGCAGGGGAAGGAAGUAAACUUCUAGGAGUAGAAGAAAGGAUGAAAAAGCCAACCACAACCCCCUUUCUUCAUUAAAGGCUUCCCUCUACCGUACUCGAAAACAACUUUGCCAUUUUGAUAAUCAAAUGAAAAAGUAUAGUUUCUAACUCUGUACUAUUUGUACACUAUUUGUACUUUCUAAAUCUAUACUAUUCGUAUUAUUUAAAAGUGACCAUAAAUAUUAUAAACUAAGUUAACCAAGGUUUUGCCUGGAGGCAAGGGAAGACCAAAUCCCAUGAUACAACUUAAAUAGUUGAAUUCCACUUAUGUGAAAACACACACAUAUGUUUAAAAGGCAUAUAUGUAUAAAAAUGGAUAUCAAAUGGUAUGAAAUAAUUUGCACUAAAUUGAUAAUUGAGGAAAAAAUGUGAAGAGAAACUUCCAGACCAAAAGCUUCAUGGGCAAAAGAACCAUAUCUUCACAUCCUUAAUGAGGAUAAGGAUUGCAGAGGCAGUACUUUGUAGAAACUAUUGACUAUAUAGCUUGUUGUAGCUGUUUCGGAUAUAGCAGCAAUCAAGAAUGACAAGCAAUCUUGAAGAUCAGACAGAAAACCAGCCUAUGAAUCAAAGAAGAAAAUCAAAAUCAGACUUCAUAACUGCUUCAGUAACCCUUGGCAACAGACAACACACUGGAUUUUGGCGAAUAACACUAAAAUUUUUGCUGGUGAGGUCUUCAGAAACUGGAUAGAUGUGAAACCACCAGAACAGAAGUGGAGCGGGCAUGGUAUCUGUUUCUUCAAUUUGUAGUUUUAUAGUCAAAAACUGGCAUGUAUAUACUUAAUUGGUAACAUGUAAGUCACGUGCCUCUAUCCCAACUCUAAGAGAGGUUGAGAACUUAAUUUCUGGCUUCUACCUUGGGAAGGAUCAGGCUUAUAAGCUGGAAAAUUAGCCAACAUACACAGGAUAUUCAAAGCUUCUAGGCAGUCAAAAUACUGUCAAGUGGUAAAACAGACAUGAAAAAACCUUUUUUUCUCUCCUAAAUUUAAAAAAAUAUAAUUUUUGUAAAACACUGUAUGUGGCUUUCCAUAAAAUUAAAAGAGUCUUGGGAGAGAGAACA
ensembl:lncRNA LINC01986 long intergenic non-protein coding RNA 1986